CUAAUGCCAAGGAUUUUACUCAUCAGUGCUGUCACUCAGUGGGUUAAUUCACAAACGACUCCUUAGUCCUUAACUGUCUGAUAAACAAUUUUUGUGUUUUAAAAUUUGUUAUAAACAAGUUAAAAUAAAAAUAUACAAAUCUGUAUUUAUCCUCAAAUAUGAAUAAGGGGUUAUUAUAGCCCAAGUAUGAACACUUGUGCCACAGUGCCAGCACAAAAUGGGCUAUUCCAGCUUUCAAUUCUGCUGGAAUGAGGUGAUAAAUUUUUAGCUUUGGAAUUCCUCAGGGAUAAGCAAAUAUUUUCUGUGUGGAAUUCUUUGGGGGUAAUCCGGUAAUGGAUAUUUUGAAUGAGAUUUUCUCAGGGGUCAAAUGUAAAAAUUGAAAUUCUUCCAGGGUCUCUCUUCAUGGGUAUUAACAGGAAUUCUUCAGUGGAUCUCUUUUAUGACCUGUAGGAAUUCUUCGGUUGAGCGAUAUGAUGAACUCUUGUGCAACGGACCUGAUUGUGCAACGGACCUGACGACCUUAGGGACGGACCAUUAGAAAACUGAUGGGGAGGGGGGGAACCAAAAAAAUUUAUUCCCAGGAAAAAAUUAGAGGAAAAAAAUCUUCCCAGGCAGAGUGCAAAAAAAAUUCCUUUCUUGGAAGAUAGGCCUAUAAAUUUUAAUACAAAAAUAUAUUUCCAGCCAUCAAGUGAGACAAAAAAAAUUUCUAUAGGUGUACAAAAAAAAAAAUAUUGCCUCUUAGAAAAUCCCCCCCAUAUCAUCACUUUUCUAAUGGUCCAUCCCUUAAUUAAAUUUGCUGUAUACAUUAUGUUGCAACGUGUCACUAUUUAAUAAACUUAUGUACAAUUACAAAUCAAGCCCACAAAUCGUUGAAUAUACUCUUACCGCUCGUUGCAAAUCACGCAGGCGCCUAUUUAAAAAGCCCCAGCAACUUAACGCUCGAGAGAGAGUCUUGUUGAAUU